rnacentral:lncRNA from 1 species
UAACAUGCAUUCUAAGAUCCAGACUGAAACAAUUGAAGCCCAAUAGAAACCACAGGUGCUGUACAUUUACUUUGUCUUACAAACAGAUUCUGCAUCUACAGUUAAUUACUUUGUCUUCCACAGGCCAACACAAGAAGCAAAAUUGCUUUAGGAAAGGGAGGCACUUUGAAUGUUAGAUGGACAGGCUCAAGGGGCGAUUUUACGCUUAGGUUGCUCUGAAGGAAGGCUUCUUUGUGGAGAGGAUUCAUCAGCAUCUCAUAAAGGGCUUUAUCGUCUUCUUCAUGAAUUCGUCCAGACCUAUCUUCUUCGAUAUCACUUCCAAUAAGGGCCCGCCUCUUGUUUUGUUUUAGUAGCAUCUGAUG